CAAAUAUCCAACAUGGCAGCCUACAGUGCAGUCAAUCUGUCAAAUUUCAAUUUUAAUCGGUUUUGUUAAGGAUAUUUGAUAAUCAGUACAUAUAAUGAGGAUGUGUGGCUUUAUUUCUAAUUGCUGGAGUGGAUAACUGAAUGACAGUUUCAUGGUGGAGAUAUAACAAAUGAUAGUUUAUACCUGGAUCCUAGGUCUCUGUAUUAAAUACUUGUACAAUAAUGAAUCUUUUUGUCACUGUGUCAGUCAUGUAAUUGCCUGCAUUUUUAAAAUGGGUAGCUGUGUGUGUAAGGAAAAGACUAGUGCACGUGGAGAUGCUCCCACACAGUCACGGAAUCACAACAGGCCUCAGAAUGAGGCACGGAUAGGAGUCGUCCAAACUGACUCGGCACGAUCCGAUGCUGAGAGUUCAACAUCUUCAGGUUACCAUGGCAGCCAGAUACUUAUGUCAAGGUCAGCUUCUAAGAAGACUGUACGGUCUCUGGUUCUUGAGACGCUGUCCGUGAUUAGAACAUUGAUUGACAAUGAAACGGAGCCCCCACAGGCAAUGAUACAACUGCACAAGAUAGCUGAGACAGAGACUGGCUGGCUUGAUGUGGCCAAGUCAUUGAUACAGGCUAUACCAAUGAAAGAUCCACUAGGACCCGCUGUGAUAACACUUCUGUUAGAUGAAUGUCCAUUGCCAACUAGGGAAGCUAUUAUUGAGUUACGGAAGAAUCUUGGCCUAUCAAAGAAUGGCCCAGCAACUGCUUACAAAGAAUGCUGUUGUCAAAGAAAUCUCUGUGUACUGCUAGGUUGUUUAGCCGAAAAAUUAGCAGGUCCAAACAGUAUCACCUUAUUAUCGCCAGAAGUUUUAGAAUAUCUUAUAAGUAAUUUGACCAUGACCCAUCCAUCAGUUAUUGUUUUACAUUCCAUCGUGGCAUUAGAAAAAUUUGCACAAACCAGUGAAAACAAAGUGACAGUGAUUAAGUCUUUGUUGUCAUUAGAACCAAAUCCAUUAGAAACCUUGGAGACACUAUGGCAUGACACAGACUAUCAGAAGAGAGAGGUUGGUUUCUGUGCACGCUGGUGUCUAGAUAACUUAUUUACUUCUGAGGGUAGGGCAUAUUCCUAUAAAAAUGAAGAUCUGAGCAAAAUCAAUGUAAUGCUUAAUUGCAAUGAUGUUAGCGAAUAUCUCAAGAUUUCACCUGAUGGCCUAGAGGCUAGAUGUGAUGCAUCAUCAUUUGAAAGUGUGCGGUGUACAUUCCAAGUAGAUUCUGGGGUGUGGUACUAUGAGGUUACCAUAGUAACAGCAGGUGUCAUGCAGAUAGGUUGGGCCACCAAAGAUAGCAGCUUCCUUAAUCAUGAAGGGUAUGGUAUUGGAGAUGAUGAAUUCUCUAUAGCAUAUGAUGGUUGUCGGCAAAGAAUAUGGUAUGGUGCCCACAGUCAGCCUCAUAAACAUCCUUGCUGGAAACCAGGUGACAUUCUGGGACUUCUGCUGGAUGUAGAUAACCAAACUAUUAUAUUCUCUCUAAAUGGUAACAGACUUCCUCCAGAGGGGGAUUUAUUUAUUUGUGCUAGGAGUGGAUUUUUUGCUGCUGCAAGUUUUAUGUCUUAUCAACAGUGUGAGUUUAACUUUGGUGCCAAACCUUUCAAACAUCCUCCUGUGGACUAUGACUUCAAGUGCUUUAAUGAGUAUGGACACCUGUCCUCAGAUCAAAAAAUUAUUGUACCAAGAUAUCAGAAGUUAGCAGAAUUACGUAAUGUACAAGUGAAGGAAGAUUCAUGUACUCUCUGUUUUGAUAAUCAGGCAAAUCUUAUCCUAGAACCAUGUGGUCAUGUUGGUUUCUGCUCAACCUGUGCAUUACAACUGGAAAAUUGUCCAAUCUGUCGGCAGGAGAUAUCCGAACGUCGAGAAUUAUCCGGAUUUCCGGGAAAAACGUACAGUGUAUGCUCGGUGCCAGUCAGUACUAUAUCUAAGGACUCUUCUAAAGAGAGUGAAAAUGUUAGUUAUAACAAUGCCAUAGGCACCAAUCUUAUGAAAGAGAAAGACCUAGAUGCCAAAGAUAGGACGAAAUUGAAAAGUGUAAAAUCGGGCCGAGAGUCCAAAACUGGAAUAGAUAGAAAUGAUAGUCAGACUAAAUCGGUAGCUAGUGUGGAAAAAGACUCGACAAAAUCAUUAGAUUUUAUGAAAAACUGUGAAACAGAGCUGCCCAAAGACACAAGACUGAAAGCUGAAAACGAAAUGCACAUAGAUCCAGUUGCAGAUUCCAUUAGCUAGUGAUAAAUUUUCAAGUUUUUAGCUCGACUAUUUGAAAUGUUUUUAUAAGUAGCCAUGUUAUUGUCAUCACAGUGUCGGUGUCUUUGUUGGUAUUAACAUCACAAAAGUUAGGCAUGUAAGCUGAUUUCCAAAACUGGCCUGAAUGCUUUUAAACUCUACACAAGUCUUAGACAUUAUUAGAUGACUUCACAGAUAAGGUUUCAUAAUUCUGGCUUGUAUUUUGUCAAAAUUAUGCCCAUUU
rnacentral:misc_RNA from 1 species